GCAAGCGUUGUUCGGAAUUACUGGGCGUAAAGGGCUCGUAGGUGGCCAACUAAGUCAUACGUGAAAUCCCUCGGCUUAACCGGGGAACUGCGUCUGAUACUGGAUGGCUUGAGGUUGGGAGAGGGAUGUGGAAUUCCAGGUGUAGCGGUGAAAUGCGUAGAUAUCUGGAGGAACACCGGUGGCGAAGGCGGCAUCCUGGACCAAUUCUGACACUGAGGAGCGAAAGCCAGGGGAGCAAACGGG
rnacentral:rRNA from 1 species